rnacentral:rRNA from 1 species
GACGAACGCUGGCGGCGUGCUUAACACAUGCAAGUCGAACGGAAAGGCCCUGCUUUUGUGGGGUGCUCGAGUGGCGAACGGGUGAGUAACACGUGCGUAACCUGCCCUUGACUUUGGGAUAACUUCAGGAAACUGGGGCUAAUACCGGAUAGGAGCUCCUGCUGCAUGGUGGGGGUUGGAAAGUUUCGGCGGUUGGGGAUGGACUCGCAGCUUAUCAGCUUGUUGGUGGGGUAGUGGCUUACCAAGGCUUUGACGGGUAGCCGGCCUGAGAGGGUGACCGGCCACAUUGGGACUGAGAUACGGCCCAGACUCCUACGGGAGGCAGCAGUGGGGAAUAUUGCACAAUGGGCGGAAGCCUGAUGCAGCAACGCCGCGUGCGGGAUGACGGCCUUCGGGUUGUAAACCGCUUUCGCCUGUGACGAAGCGUGAGUGACGGUAAUGGGUAAAGAAGCACCGGCUAACUACGUG